rnacentral:lncRNA from 1 species
UUUAAUAUCAAAUUGAAAUCAAAAUUAAAAUGUAAAAUAAAAUCACAUUCAAAGUACAAAAUAACAUGGAAGUUAAAUUGCAAAAUAAAGUGUUAAAGGAAAUCAAAUAAAAUAUACAUGAAAAUCAAAAUUAAUUUUCAAAAAUAAUAUGGAAUAAAUUGUAAAAUUAAAAUCAAUUAAAAUGUAAAAGAAAGUCAAUUAAACUUACAAAAAUAAUGCUAAUUAUUAUUUUGCAAAAUUAUAAUUGAUUAUAAAUAAAAACUAAAGUUAAA